UUCCGCAAUGGACGAAAGUCUGACGGAGCAACGCCGCGUGAGUGAUGACGGCCUUCGGGUUGUAAAGCUCUGUUAAUCGGGACGAAAGGCCUUCUUGCGAAUAGUUAGAAGGAUUGACGGUACCGGAAUAGAAAGCCACGGCUAACUACGUGCCAGCAGCCGCGGUAAUACGUAGGUGGCAAGCGUUGUCCGGAAUUAUUGGGCGUAAAGCGCGCGCAGGCGGAUAGGUCAGUCUGUCUUAAAAGUUCGGGGCUUAACCCCGUGAUGGGAUGGAAACUGCCAAUCUAGAGUAUCGGAGAGGAAAGUGGAAUUCCUAGUGUAGCGGUGAAAUGCGUAGAUAUUAGGAAGAACACCAGUGGCGAAGGCGACUUUCUGGACGAAAACUGACGCUGAGGCGCGAAAGCCAGGGGAGCGAACGGGAUUAGAUACCCCGGUAGUCCUGGCCGUAAACGAUGGGUACUAGGUGUAAGAUGUAUCGACCCCUUCUGUGCCCGAGUUAACGCAAUAAGUACCCGCCUGGGGAGUACGACCGCAAGGUUGAAACUCAAAGGAAUUGACGGGGGCCCGCACAAGCGGUGGAGUAUGUGGUUUAAUUCGACGCAACGCGAAGAACCU
rnacentral:rRNA from 1 species